CAAGUGACUUUCACUGCACAUUGCCUCUAACAAAGCCUUCCAUCGUCUGUACCUUGAAACCAGUCUUAGAGCAUAUCUAAACAGCAGAAUUCAAGCCCAUCAGCAGGUGUCUAUGUCCUUAGCCCCAAAUCAACCAUUUGUCUUCUUCCUGUAUUUUUCAAGUGGAGCCUCCCUUCCUGCAUUAUUAUCCUCCUGCAAGCUCUCCUGAAGGAAACUGCAUCUGAACAAUUAAAGGACAUAGAACAAAAUGACUGGGGUCUCUCUCUCUCUGGCUUCUCGGGAAAUAAAAGAUGGUCCUUAGUAAAUUCUCCAGAGGGCUCUGCUUAGCACAAAGAUGAGCAGAGUACAAGUGGAGAAAGGCAGUACCAGCAACGAACACGAUAUCAUUUGUGCAUCUCACGUGCCUCUCUAUCCGCCAUCCUUGUUAUGGGGAGAGCCGAGAAGUCCCCUUCCCCUCUCCUUUUCCUCAGAUGCUGGCUCCUCCUGUGCCUGUCUGACUGUGGCCUUUGGCCUGAGUAUUCACUCGGUUUUAAAGUAAAGUAGGAGCGGCUACGAAAUCUGUGAGAUGCUUGGGAUGACUCCACAAAUUAAAACCUUUUAUCAGCCUCUAAUAGCUGCGCAAACUAAUUAUACUUUGGCCAAACUUUGCCAAUGACUCCCUUGAGGUAUUAUUAUAGAAUUUUGAGCUUGAAAAUGCGUCCCCAUUCUGUCAACAUCAGGUUGUUUCAGCUACAGGGAAUGAGGCUCCAGCUCCUAUUAGCUUCCAUGGUGUGCUUUGCAUAAACGGGGACAUUUUACACAUGGGUUGCAGGUACAGUAGCUGAGGGAACACCUCAUACAUAGGGUGAUUUUCAGCACUGGGACUGCACAGAGAGGCUGUUUACAGAAAGAAAAGAAAAAUGGCUGUGCCCUGAAAUUUUUAGAAGCAGCUACAGGGCUCCUUUCCAAUGGGUGAAGCAGUUCAUUUGGUAUCUACUUGUAGCAGCUUCUAAUUUGGAUGGACACCUAACUUUUCUUCCCUGUGCUCCCAUUUCUUCAUAUGUGGAAGGAGAGAACUUACGAUAAAAGAAAAUAGUUCUCAUAGAGCUUGACUAGAAGCCAUUAGAUCCUGGAUUGUCAGAGAAUUUGUGUUCACACACAAUGAAGAUUAAAAGCCAAGUGGUUCAAAACGGAUGAAUUUGUCAGUAAAAAACAUUUAUCCAACACGUACAGUAGGUGACAUCUUUAGAGGUAUGUGAUGGCUGUCAUUAUUCCAUGUGCCAAUGAGUGCUUCUCGAUAUUGUGUAGCUGGUCUGAAGAGUCAAAUCACUCCUCGGCAACCCCCUUCCCUUAAGCAUGCGAUUCCUUGAAAUUAUCUCCAAGAAGAAUCAAGGUAUGGCGCAUCCCAUGGCCCUAGGCUACCAUUGUAUCCGGGACUAGAAAAUGAGGUAGGAUUAAGCAAGCUGCUUAAUUCCAAGGGCCGGGUGUGAGACCUUUAUCAUGACUGUUUGGAUGUCAUAGAGGUACCUAGGAAAACUGAAUGGUGUAGGCCAAUCAUUCCCCUGGCCUGAAUGUAAAUGAAUACAUGGUAAGCAAGAGCUCUCAGAAGCUGUGGCCAGUACAGAGGCACAGUAUUUGCAGGAAAUGCUAUGUUAGUACAGCACUCUGAGACAAUGAGAAAAUUAUAUUAUGGUAGAUGCAUAGGCCAGUGAUGCAAAGCCUUAUGUUUAUUAUGAAGUGCCAUACAUUGUGUGCUAAAAAGAUCACUUUUUAUUUAUAUGAGCAUCACCACCAACAUUUAAGUGAUGGCUUGCCUUAUGGCUGCGGGGUCACUAGGUGAUGCAAAUUCUCAACUACAUCAAAGGAUCUCAUCCUCUUAGGGCAGUGUGUUGAUCGCCACCCAGAACUGACCAUCUACCCUACUCUGUGCCUAGUCCUGAGCCGCUGAUGGAAGGAAGAAACCGAGAUGUCAGAGGAAUGGGGUUUGCUCUUCUCAGUAGUCAGAGGAAAGUUAGUCAUUAGCUUAACUAUACAUAUACCUCUUAGUCCUGCCCAUUGCCCUUGUAGGACCACAGCAGAGGCAGGUACACAGCCAGGGUUCAGGUCCUUAUUUCAGCAAAGGAUCUCCUGGUUCUUUUUUUUUUUUUUUUUUUUUUUUGUCUCUGCCAUCUGCCAGCCCAUCUCGUGCACUCCCAUGAUAGGCUAAGCAGAUUCUUGACUUCUUUCCAGUUGUCACUAAUUACACUGCAGAUCUGUAAAUCAUGCCAGGCCUGCGCUGACAGGGAGGGGGAUUGGUCCUCUGCCUUGCUGAGCUCAGGGCUCCUGGGCAUACCCACAGCAAGCAUCCCCAAGGUAGAUGCUGAGGGCAAAGGGAUGCUGAGUCACGUGGUGACCCAGGCCCUGCAUGUGUAUGCAUAGCCUAGUCCCAGGUCUCAGGCAGUAUAAACCCUGUCUGGAAGAAUUUAGUUGUUCUGCUUCUGCCUGUGGGCUUUUAUUGCUGUUUGGAUAGCUGGAAGGCAGAGCAGGGCGGGUUUCACCUGGGAGAUGUUGUUACUAUUGCUUCCGGUAGUUUGACGAAGAUGGAACCGUAUACCUCCAAUGUAGUCAAAUAAUAAAAGAGAUUAAUUAUUUCUAAGACAGGGUAUGCAAAUCUGUGUGUUAAAGUGUACCAUGGGUGAUUUAGAUAAGAGUAUCUUCACUUAAAGAAUUUCUUGAUACUUGAUACUUGAUUGUGGGUUUCAGCUCCUCAAUGAUCAGUUCCAGUUUCUGCACCGAGAAGUGGCUUUCUCUUUUCCCUUAUCUCUUUCUCUUUUUUAACUUUGCUGUUUUGGUGAGGAUACAUGGUCCUUUGAUUAGAACCGUGCUAUCCUAUGUGUGCAUGAAAGUCACGUGUACAGUCUGGGUGAAUAGAUCCCUAGCUGGCACUUGGAGAAAGCGGGUGCCCACUUGGAGUUCUGCAACCAGAGUGUCAUGGGCUGAGGGGUUGCCCCCGGUAGCCCUAGCCACAAGUCUCCUAGCCAAGCUCGCUCACUGCGCAGAUUGCUGGCUAAUGGGGUGGAGCUAGCUGAAGUGCCUCCUAUUAAUGGAGCAGAAUAUAAACAGAAUAAAGGCUUCAUUUCGCAGGCUGUGGUUUCAUUAUUAAUAUACUUUCCAGUUCACAGGUUGUACGUUUGUGCCCAUGUUUUCUCAGCUGGUGUAAUCUGUGGCUCAGGGUGAGAACAGUCAUAAAAUUUUCAUUUCCAGUUGAAUGUGCAUCCAAUUCGCCGUGAAAUGUUCUAUCUGUCGUGAAUAUUAAGUGCACUGAAGCAAUGGCUGCUGGAUUAGGUAAAGAAGCUCACGGCCCCUCCCAGACCUGGCAGGGCCCAGGCAUGUUCUGGAGCAUGGGUGAGGACGUUUAUGGAGAAACAGUAGUCUGCGGCCAUGUCCAGGAGCUAGGCAGAAGGAGAGAAGGAGAGGAAGUAUGUUCCAAAGGGUGCAGAACUGACAAGAAUACCAGUGCAGAGAGCACUUUGGGCCAGAAGAGGAAAACAACUAGAUACUCAAGUACAGAGAUGCAGAAUGCCUGAAUAUAGGUGAAGAGGGAGGCAGUUGCCUAGGUGAGAGCCAGCCCAGGAGGGCGCAUAGUUGUCAGCAUGAGAGAAAGCAGACAGAAUACUCUAUGCACAGGGCCUUUUUAGUCACAUCAAUAGCAUUGUGAGGUGAACAGAGUGCUGUUGGUCACAGACAGACUGUGAGCAGCCACGGCUGAGAGAGCUUCUAUGGGAUGUCCUCCAGGCCUCCUGCAGGGCUAGAGUGGCAUGGGGACUCUGUCCAAAGAACAAAUGCGGUUUGCUGUAGCUGGCCACCCAUGGGCAUUCACCUGCCAGCGCCAACUCACUGUCUGCACUCAGCAGGACAUGAGCUCUGCUCAGUAACUCCUUGAUCUCUUCUGUCUUAGAAUUUGUGAACCUUUGUCAGUCUCCCAGCUAAGACCCACUCAGUGCUCCCUGGAGGAGCUGAAGCAACAGAGGGAGAACUCUUGUGCUCAGUGGACCUUUUCUUCCUAAACUCUACCUUGGGUCCCGGUGCCCCCACUCCCUAAACUGGAAAAGUUUAAUGUGAAAUUUACCCCAUGCUGGAGGGAAAUAAGGCAAAUAGGAAGAAGUGAAGCAAGAAGAAGUCAGCAGCCCAGACACCAACUUUGAUUUCUUCGAGCCAAAUUGCUAAGUCAGCCAGGUGGUCCCAGAUGAACUUCCAACCCAGGCAGAAAAUUUCCAGCCCCACGAAUAUGUACAUGUGUGUAUGUGUGCAUCUGAAUGCAUGCCCACAGUGCCAUCUAUAAAGUUGAGCCUAUAUGUGGUCUUUGGCUGUUUGCACUGGGAGUUCAUAACAGCUCAGUGAUAGCCAACAGAAUUUCCCAUUUUUGAUCAAGAGACACAGUACAGGAAUAAGUUAAGAGGCUGCUCCAAGGUCACAAGCUGGAACCCUUGGUGGAAGCAGAACAGAAAUCCCCUAUUCUGAAUUGGAGGCUUGUGCCCCAUACACAGCUGUUAAUAUACAACUUCAUAUUUGUGGUUUCUGACUGUUUGGCUUUGGGCACUACAAAGAGACUUUUGUAAGUCUGAAUUAUACACCUGCUUAGGAGAGGGAAUAGUGGGGAGAGAAGGUUCAAAUGAGCUGGAUCUAGACAGCAAGGUGGUCAAAGAUUCACAACUUAUCAUGAUCCUCUCUGAGCACAGGUAGUUCUGCUCCGAAGGGAUAGCUUAUCUGCUGUUCACUUCAUCUUUCCUCAUGCCUUUUUCAUUUCUGCUUACUUGAAGCACCAAAAGGUUCUUGCAGACCAGCCCACCUGGCUCACAGCGUACCCAGGAGCCCCUGCAUUUGCCCUGAUGCCCUACAUAGCCCAAACUUCGUUUUCAAAAGGCCCCCAGGAAGAUUCCAUGCAUUCAUGCUCCCCCACAAGCCCUUUCCUCUGCUGAGAGAGCGCUCCAUCUGUAUUUGUUAUGUCUCCAUUUCUCUGAUUAUAACUAUGACCAGAACAUCUCAUAAAAGAAAGCAUUUAACUGGGCGUUCAGUUCCAGUGGACAAAAGGCCAUGAUGGCAGAGCCAAGACAUGGUGGCAGGAUCAGCUCAGAGAUCACAUCUCUAACUGUAAGCAGGACUCAGGGAAGGAAUCCACAAGGAAUGGGAGUUUUUUGAAACCUGAAAUCCUGCCUCAGGUGACAUACUUUCUCCAACAAGGCCAUGCCUCGUAAUAAUUCCCCAAUAACCACCAAUGGGGGAGCAAGUAUUCAAAUAGCUGAGGCUUGUGGAGGGACAUCUCAUUCAAAACAAAACAGCAACUUUCCCCAUGGCUCAAACCACAGGUUACUCAUGAAGCCUUCACCCCUUCACUCAUGCAAUCGAUUUUUCCCCCCUAAGAAUCUUUCCUAGAAUCUAUUUGCAGGUUCCAAAGCAUGUGUCUUCCUCCUUAGUUUUCUGGAAACUCCACGUGGAUACAUGUCAGUCUUGCACACAGACACCAGACUAGACAAACGUGAAUUCCAGUGCCCACACUGGCCACUCACCAGCUCUGAGAAUCUCGUUGAAGCCUACAGCUCACCUUAGUCUUGCUUUGCUCAUCUCUAAAAUGGGAUUGGUUACCUUAGAAGGAGUUGGUAAGAAGCCGAAGAAGAGAAGUAAGCAACAGAACGCUUAGUGCUUGGUAAACGCAGGCUCUCUUGUCUUCAGUAAGGGUCUCUUUUCUAUAAGAACUGCUUAUUGCCUGGAUACAUGAAUCCUGAUUGAUGGAAUGAUUGUCAACUUGCAAGCUCCCAUGAAGAGAUUCUGGAGGUAAAGAAGGAAAGAUGUGGGGAAGCAAAUAGGGCAGUAGCAGUGGGGCUUCUGCGGUGUCCUAAAUUCAAAAGUAAAUUAAAACCUUUUAAUUACAGAUUUAGUAGUUCUGCCCUUUGCACAUUCUUCCCACUGUUUCUCUCUAGAUCUCUCAUCCUCUUUGCUUUUUUUUUAACCUUUUUUCAUUCCUGUUUAUUUGCCCUGUAUAUAAGUUCAGGCACACGUCCUCUCCAGUGCUUAUGCGUGAGUUAUUCUGUUGUCUCUGUUGUCAGUUUCCCAGGGAUCAAGCAUAUGGUCAUCAGGCUUGGCUGAAAGCGCCACUACCUGCUGAGCCAUCUUACUGACCCUCCCUCUCUCUCUAAUAUUUGAUUCUUCAAUUUAUUGGAUGUGAAAAUUCAGCAGACAUUCGCCACCUCAUUAAGCAUUACCACCUGUGUUCUCUUAACCUUGAAUUAAGAAAUAUUAACCCCUGGAAAACAGUUCCUUCUAGUGCUUAAACCUGGGAAGUCUCCAAGCUCCUUACCCUCUCUGCCCAGACUCUAGAGAAGGCAGAAGGUAGCAUCCGAUGGCCAUGGCCCAAAGCAUCUAAACACAGGAGGGAAUGGAGCAAUUCGGAGGAGGUUCUCUUAAAAUUCACAUGCGGUUGAAUCUUCCUGUUUUACCCUGGGUCCUCGGAACUCCUGCCCUGAAGCUGCAUUCAAAAUAAAUUCCACCAGUAUCCCAUUCUCAGGGAGAGAUGGGAGAAAACGGCGGUGCAUCCUUCUGCUGGCUUGUCACUGUAGAGUUGAGAUAAUAAUAGUCUUUUUCUGAUCCCCUGAACUUUCCCAUCUGCUUCAUAAAACAAUGGCAAUUUUUCCCUUGCUCUGUCUUCCUCUCUCUCUUUUAUUUUUAUCCUCCUACACUAUAAUUUAAAACUGUGGCAGUGCUAUAGCCCUUGAGGUUUUUUUUUUCCUUUCUUUCCCCUUGCUUUAAUACAUGACUGUUAUUUAAAAUGGCCUUUCAUGUGAGCAGCAGGAGGCCGCCUGGGUAGACACUGCUUCUUGCUUUCAGCUGGGAGGGUAGGCCAGUCAGCUACUGUUCUAGCCAAGGAUCCCUGUUCUCUUCUCAACUGCCCGGAAAAUCACAAGUUUUAUCUGCUUUUUCUUCCAAGGCGGUUGUGCAAAAGGAACUCAAGGAACCGAAGAACGGUAGAUGCCCUUGCCCUUCAAAUGACCAGCCUGUGAAGCAGAUGGCCCCAGGGACUCCACCUGGUUCCAGGUUCCAAUCAAGGAACUUCAGUUAAAUACAGUAAAUUCUGUGCAGAGUAAAUGCUAAGGGAUUGUCCACACUGUUAGCCAUCAGCAUGGAGACUUCCAGCUUGAUUGUUGUUAGGCAGGCUUUCUCUUGGUAGCUCUUGUCAGUCACACACAGCAUCCAGGGGUAUCUAUCUGUUUCAGCUGAUGGCUGUACAAAGGAGAGAGUGAUGGUUAGGCUCCUUCCCCAGGGGAAUACCAUCUAUUUCAGGGAACAGAAGAGUUAUUUUCCAUACCUUCACAUCCAUGCCCAGACCUUCACAACCUUCUGAGUAUGGUCAGCAACUACCUAGGGCUCUGUCUUUUGACCUCUCUACUGGAGAUUUCUACAUAGUCUCUGUCCAUCAGUACAGCUCCAUGUGUGCGCCUGUAGCUCCCAGAACACACUGGACGUAUUUAGAUUCUGUCCCCCCACUUUCUGUAAAGGUUCAUUGGACUAGUUGGAUAUUCCCGAUGGGCUACAUGAAGGAACAUAGCCAUUCAAACUUUGGGGGCCACCCUGGGCUCAAGACUAGAAAACUAUGCAUGUUCAUUGUGGAAGAGUGUGGGAGCUAGGUAGAUAAAAGUGUCAUUUGUGGAAGUAAGUGAACAUGUAAGAGUGAGUAUGGAUGUUGGGUGUGAGUAGAUGGGUAUGAUGUAUAUGUGGAUGUUCCACAUGAGAACACAUUGCUUAUAUCAAAUAUAACUUUGAUUGUGUCUUUUAAUAAAUAUGUGAGGGGUAUGUGUACGCACAUCUCUCUCUCUCUCUCUCUCUCUCUCUCUCUCUCUCUGUGUGUGUGUGUGUGUUUGUGUGUGUGAAGUGCGCAUGUAUUCUCUUGCUAGUUGAAGAAAUGGCUCCUGGGAAAAUGGUUUCUGCUGGGAUGAAAUGAUCCUGACGUUUAUUUGACUCCUUCCAGAGUUGUUCCGAGGUUGUUCCUUGGUUGUGCUAUCCCAAAAGGAUUGGCAACAGGCAACAUGUUUGGGGGAGCUAUUUUCUCUUGUCAGCCUUUCUCUACAGCCUCUUUUGGAACUCUCCCCCUCUCUCUCUUCUUGUGAACAUCUGAAAUGGUCCCUGAAACCAUGUAGACUCAUGACAUAAGAGAGAAGGUGCAGAGUUAAGUGUAGUGAUUCCCUCCUGAAAGUGACAUGUAGCUUCACAGUGAUGCAAGUGGAGGCUGCAGACAUGGCCAGGCAGUGCUGUGACCAGAGUCUUCACUCUAGCCUGUCUCAAUGGCAAGACAACACCACAUUAAGGUACCAUUCCUUAUGUAUUUAUCACAUUCCAAGGACCUCAUGUCUCCCUGAGUCUUACCCUUUCCAUCCGAUAUUGAUUUCUUCUUCCAAGAUUCUUACUGUGAGCAUUCCUCUGCUGGACCUUGGUAGGUAGCGUGUUUUCUCCACUGUCAGAAUGAAAAUGUCAUAUGUACCCCGAUUCUGAAAGACCCCUUUGAUGGGUAUAGAAUGUUCAGUUCUAAGUUACCUCUUCUAGCUAAGUGGCCUCCUGGCUGUUCUCCCUGCUCUCAAUGAGGCAGCUGUCAAUGUGAAGUUGGCUUUCAUUAAAGUUAUCUGCACACACACAGCUCACUCCCCUUGUCACUUUUCUGAUUGUUUUUCCUCUGGUUUUUGGAUUUUUGAAUGUGUACUGUGCUAUGCUUAGUUAUACACACCUUUGCUGGUUUUCAUUUUGUUUCACAUUUGUUGGUGUUUCUUGAAUCUCUACGUUGAUGUAUUUUAUAGGUUCUGAAACUUCUGAGCCUUGAUCACUUGUGAUAUGGCCUCCUGAUUCUUUAUCCCUGUCCCAUUUGAGCCUGCUUUCUAAGUGUGGGACAGACUUGCCAUUCCCAGGCCUCUUACCCACAUGCGUCAGCAUCCUCCAUCUCUGUGUGGCUGUAUCCUGCUUGAUGCUUGUCUUGCUCAGCUCACAGCGGGUGUCUAGAACUGAGUUACCAUCCGUUAAACCUAUCCACUGACUUAUGUUUUAAUUGCAUAUUAAUUUCAUCAAUGUGAUGCAUACUUAUGCUGCUGUCUAAUAUUUUAUUUAAAUUUAUUGUAAAUAUUUACUAUUAUUUGAUAUGUACUGGGCUCAGAGUGCCCCCAAGUCUGGCGAAAGCUCCUGCAUGCAACAUAAUAACCCUAGUUGGUGUUCUGGAACCCAUGUAUUAAGGUAGAUGGAGAAAACCAAUUCUACAUUGCUAUUAUAUGACCCCUGCCUGUGAGCCCUGGGUAGCGCACAACAAAUACUCACAGACAAUAACAAUAAAUUUAAAAAAAUAGUAACAUGUGUGUACUGAUUUCUAGUCAUUCUAUUUUCAGUGUUUCUGCCAACGUGCUAACCUUUGUAUGUCUUUACAUUAAGAUUUUAAUGUCUUUCCUUUGAUUUCUUUAAAAUAGUGGUAGUUGGUGUCUGUUCUACCCCACAUCUUCUUUAGAAGACAUGUAGCUUGCUUUCCUUGGUCUUGGUAUCAUUUUUCUGUGACUACUCUUUAUUUGAAUUAAUUUUUUUGCUUUGUGAAGAUCAUUGUAUUAAAAAACAAAAUUAGUUCGAUGCCUCUGAUGAAAGGACGAGCCUUCCUUUCAAUACCAUUGUAUUUGUUUCUGCAGGGUGACUGGAACAGUUGCUAUUUAGAACCACUUGAAACUAAAUUACACCUUUUCUCCUUCCCCUUACAGCCCAGGUCAUCCAAACUAUAAGACAAUUUUUUGAACAGGAUGUUCAUCUCUGAGCGUCCUCUCAUCUGGGGCUAUAGCAUCCUGGACUCUUCAUUUAUUAUAAGAAGUUUUUCCUAUUAGACAUUCCACUUCAAUGUGGUCUUGUGCUUUUUGAUUCCUGUUCUCUUGGCCUGGGGGCUUGCUAAACAAGAUGGAAAGUGUCUGACUCAGAGUGCCCUCAAGUCUGAGGCAAGUUGCUGUGUGUAUUUCCUUCUGUAGCUUCUAGCAUUUUCUGCACUCGGAAGGAAGCUCCUCUUUGGUGUUUUUCAGGGGGAUGUAAAUUGCAUAGUUCAUUUACUGUCAAAUUGAGGUUACCUGAGUGACCCAUAUAUCUUUUCAGGAAGUGACAAGAGAUGCUCUCGUAAACCACAGAUCACUUCACCUCUCUAGUCACAGGCUGGAACAUCCUAUGUGCUGUUGGUUGUACUUGAGGCAAAGAACAAGGCAUUGACGGUUUAACAGAUGGUAUCGUUCUGUGUCUCAGUUUCUUUGGAUGUGAAAUGAGGUCAAAAGUCUGUACUGUCCACCGCACAGAGUCACUGUGAAACUCAAAUAGAACCACCAAUUCUCGGAUUUUAACUGAUUCAAUAGUACAUACAGAAAUGUCAAAGUGGAGAACCAGCCCACAUUUCCUUGGACUUUGCUGCUCUUCAGCACCAAUGAGAUAAAAAAUGAACCAUGCAGUCAGGUGGGGCAAGACGUUCUAGUGCCUCUGGCCCCACCUGUGAGAGCAGAUUUCCAGCUGGAGACAUGUACUGUGAAGAACUCACAUUUUGUCUGACCUGUCUUGAACCAGUGUCACAUGACCACUGUGAAUCAGGAGGCUGAUGUCUUCUAGAUGGAGUGUCUAUAAAGCAGAUUCCUCUUCGGAGUCUGAAUUCUUCAUCUAGAAACCCUAAGCCACCAUGCUCUUCUUCCUUCCUAACCCUGACCCAGGGCUGCCUACUGGAGUCAGUUAAACUUAGACUGACUUCUUUUUUCUGAUCUUUAUUUUAACAUUUAUUUCCUGAAAGAAAAACAAUUGGAAGUCUAUCUAAAAAUCAGCCCUUGGACUCAUUUUCCUAUGGGUACUUCUUGUUCUUUUCCUUUUAGUUAUUUGUGACAGACAACAGACAUCAUACAACAAAUAUUGAACUUGAUGAGUUAGCCUGCAGGCAAAAGCAGCAGCCAAAUGCAGGGUUGAAUGCAGAAACCUGGUUAGUCUACCUUGACAUCUGAGGCUGAGAUACAUCUCUCCAGACAGUAGAGAGUUCUAGAAAAUAAAAAAGAUAGAAAGGGAGUAAUAUUGUGGUGAGUGAGGAGGAAGAAAUAAAAGGUCAAGUAUAGAGGAUAGUUUCCUAUCUAGGAAGAAGGUCGGAAGGAGCAUGUGACCUUGGGUGUUAUAAGUGACAGGAGAUGGUCAGAAGGAUAUGAGGCUGAGGUGAUUUUGUAUGAGAUUUUCUAUUCAGAAGAUUAAGAGAGUUCCUCCAGGGGUUGGGGAUUUAGCUCAGUGGUAGAGCGCUUGCCUAGCAAGCACAAGGCCCUGGGUUUGGUCCUCAGCUCCGGGGGGAAAAAAAAAGAGAGCAAGAGAGAGUUCCCCCAAGUUAUGUUCAUUUUAACAGCAACAGGAUUGGUCAAUAAACAUAUCCGGUCAAGGUACAAAUACUAUUGCCAAGCAACAAUGAGUCUCCCAGGACAGUCCACACUUCAGAUGAGCGAUAAUUAUCUAUGACGACUUGGCUGCACCAUAAGUAGUUAUCUCUUGGGAGGCAAGUUCCUCCUUUCCAGGGAUGAUAGGGAUAAGGACUUCUGGUGAAACCACUGUGUAGGACCCGAUCUGGACAAUGAUGGAAUCAUAUAUUGGCCAAACCUGCUUAAUUAUGGAUACCUGUUACAUCCUGCCACUGUUCUUCCUCUGUUUAAACAGAACACUCACAUCAGAAUCUCGAAGGUAGACUUGGGGUCAUCAGUUAAUCUAGCAUCCUUCCUGUUGUGGUUGCAUUAAUUAAAUUUCCUCAUUUCUUUAGUUAGCGUUUGGUACUGGUGGUCAAGCCUAGUUUUCUGGGGCUGCUAGAAGCAGAGUGUUUGCUUGCAAGUUAAGUAAUAAAGCUGUUGUAGCUUUGGGACACUCCUUGGAUCGAUUAUUUGUGGAAAAGAAGUCCUUACACAGAUGCAUACAUGAGUGCUUUCACCCUUGAUAAAAUAAAUGUCUUUUGUAUACACUGUCAUUUCUGAAGUUGUGUUCAGAGAAGCAAUGAUAAUUUUGAGGAGAAAAGAUACUCCUAUAGGGAGAAAGAUUCAGGUUUGCCAAUAUGUUUAGGAAAGCACGUGUGUUCCAUGCUAUUUCAUUAUCUACGACACAUACAAUGUAUGCAGGAUUCUAAAUUGUCCAGCAUGUCAUGUCCCAAAUCCAGAGUUUUCUCCAACAUCUUGACAAAGUCUUCUUUUCUUAGAAUACUGACCACAAAGAUAUCUUGCAGGACACUAACAGUUUGAGGAAAAUAUUCUUUCUAUAUCACAUGGCUCUGUCUUAUUUCUGCUAUUCAGAGAAUUUCUAUAUAAUAUAUUUUCACAGCAGUGCCCAAGAGCAAAACUCUCUUCCUAGGACACAUCCCCAGGGUUUAGCAGCUGACUCUAUCUGCUGAUGAUAAUGACUGUGGUUUACCUAGGGCUGUUGAAUCUCUUGUGUGUUUUUCCCAUGAGCUACCUCUGAUUCUCCUGAUGAUCCUAGGGGAUAGAUAUAACAUUCUUCUCAGACUUCAACAAGAAGAUGAAGUCAUUCUUAUUAAAACAUCAGCCUGAGACAUGCAGCCACACCAGGACUGAGGCACAGUCUGUUGAACAUAGUGUUUAUGUCUACCAUAGAACAUUUAUUAAACAGGGUCUCUGCACAAAGUGAAAACUAGGUUGAAAAGCGAAUAAAUUGUAACACACACACACACAAACACACACACACAAUUUAAUUUAUUCUUUUUUAGCUCCACAGAUAACUUUAAAAAUCAUCAAGUUCAUAUUUUUUCUUUUAUCGCAUUUGCAAAUAACAUACACGAGACCUUGAGGAAGGGAAAUGACUUCCUCAUGAUCCUGUGGCCAGCUGGUUUCUGAGUUUAUACCUUCACCCAUUUCCCGGGCUCUCAUAAAGAACUGAUUUCAUGCAUGAUAAAACGAUGUGGCUACAUUAUAGUCAGUCAAAUCUUCAGACUUGGCUUUAGUCAUGUUUCUUAGUCUCAUGACUCAAUAAACCUGAACCUCUUCUCUUCCAAGAGACUGGCUGUCACCAAGGUGUUAGCCUAAUAGGUAGAAGAUUCAGCUGUACACACAGGGGUUCAUGGAAAAUGAGGCCUGCCUUCCUGUCUGCUGAAAACCUAGCAAAAUAAUUAGAAAUAGGAGGGUGCAAGUCGAGUUAGCACGCCAGAUUUCCAAAAUUUGUUCAAAUGCAGAAUCUGGAGAAGCAAUACAGGCAUUGAAAGCUUGACUGCAAAUUUAGGGCAAGGAGAAGCUGGAAGAUAUCUCCCUGCAUUGGGCCCAGGAUCCUUUGCCUUCCAGACUCCUGCCUUCAGCCCACCAUCUCCUCGACUGGAACCCUUAACUCAGUCUGGCAGCCAGGCUGUACUAGCUCCCAGCCUCUGUGACAGACUGUGCUCAACUCAGCCCCAGCAAAACUGACAGUCUCAUCAGCCCCGCCCCUUCACAAGGAGGAUCACAUCUUUUCCACCUCCCUGCACCUCUUGCUUGCUUUUUAAAAAAAAUUGUUGUAAAUUGACAAUUUGUAAUUGUAUGAAUUUAUAGGGUACAAAAUGAUGUUAUGAUUUAUGAAUACAAUGUGGAAUAAUUAAAUCAAGCUAGUUAGCAUAUCCAUCACUUUAUAUACUUAACAUUUUUUUUGUUAUGAGAUUGUUUGAAAUUUACUCUUAGGAAUUUUGAAAUGUACAAUACUCUAUUAUUAACUGUAUUCAUCAUGCUGUGUAAUAGAACUCAGAAUUAAGGAAAACAUUAACAUAUUCCUCCCCUCUUUUCCCAACUAUCUUCUCACUCCUCUUUUCAAUGUCUUUAAAUGCCUAACUCCUCUCCACUGCUAUGAAUUCAGUCCUUUAGGAUAGCACACAUAAGUGAAAGCACAUGGUAUUUGUUCUUCUCUGCCUGGCUUAUGUGGCUUAGCAUAUUGCUCUGCAGUUUCCUCUGUCAGAAAUAACAGAAUUUCAUUCAUUUUCAAGUCUGAAUAUUGUUUCAUUGUGUAUAUAUGCCACAAUCUUUAUUGUCUCAUCUUUUCAACAACACUGGAUUACCCAUAAUGUGGCUAUUGUGUAUGGCCCCGAAAUGACCAUCCCAUUACAUGAGAAAAGUUAUUUGACAAAAGCUGACAUCAUUGAAUGAACAAAAAGUCCCAACUAAUUAUGUAUAUGGGAUAUGUAAAGCAUAAUAUCACAAUAGAUAGGAAAUCUGAGGAUAACAUUAUUUUCACUGGACAAAAUUCAAAAUAUUUCCUCUGAGAUCAAGAGAACAGGGCAGGGAAUACGUUGAAGUUGCAGAAUAAAACCUCAAUACACAAAAUAUGUAGCAAUUGGCUAUGCAAAACCAGAACCAGGAGAUUAAUUUGAUUUAUGAUAGCCAAAAAGAAUGAACUGCUUAGAAAUAAAAUUAACAAGGAGGUAAAAGACCCAUGUAUUGGAAGUUGUACGAUGUUAAGAAAAGGUGCUGAAGAAGAUACAAAUAGAUGUCUAUGGAUUAGAAAGAAUAAUAUUUAGACUUUUAAAUAUUCCACUUUGUUUUAUAGAAAUAGGAGUAUAUAAAUUCACAAAGAAUAACAACAUAAAAAUGCAAAUAUCUAUGUCACUUAUGAAAUAAAAGAGCAAGUUGAAAAGCAUUUUACACCCUUAUCUCCAGCUAUAUGAGAAAUGGAUUAAAUUAGUCUGAUACCUUUAAAAAGUGUACACAUAAACAAAUGGAACAGAAGAAGGAGCUCAAGAAGGAAACAUGACCAUGGUAUUGUGGUAAAGGUUAAUUGUCAACCAGAA